CCAUAUUGGUUGUGGUGCAUCCUGCCGUCAAGCGAUUCGGUGUCGCGCCUUUUCAUUUUUACAACAGUAAUCGACGCUUGUCGUUACAAUUAGCUCCCGCUAGAUGGGUGUCAGGUUCCGUCGAAAUACACGCUAAGCAGAAUAUGAAGUCAAGGCGAGCCAAGUUCGACCAGCAAAACAUGUCUGGAGUGAUCUGGGCACACUGAUACAUUUAAAAAUCCACAUCUCUGGCCCGCCGCUCACUGUGUGACGCGGCCAGACCUGACUGAAAUGGACCGUCACGGAAAAAUGACUGUUGGUGACCCAUACCCGCACAUUGAGCGAUUGACCAUUGCAUAUCUACCGAUGCGCUGCAAUGGAAAUCUAUGAACUUGUAUUGGGUUUUGAGGCUCCACAUACUGGAUAUUGUACUGUAUUACUUUUAUUGAA